GAGCUGCUCUCGCCUCUUCUGCGCCUCCGUCUUCUGCCAGUCUGCGGGAACGACGGCAGCCGUGUAUCCGCAUCCAAACGGAGUCUAUCCCCCCAAAUCCCCGCUAAUCUCGGCCGUUUCGCUCGCGACGGAGCUGCUUUGACCGGGCACCGGCCGUAUUUCAGCGCUAGUUUCCAGCGCGGUCUUUCUCUCUGCGCUGCCUUUUCGCUCAUGUGGGGAAAGGAUCCUUCGGUUCGACCCGCUUAAAAACACACCGCGUUGCACCUCCGACAGUCAGAGCAGCAGCUCCCCCAAACCCGACGAUUUUGCACAUAAAAACAAAGCAGUGACACGCGCGGGGCAGUCUCAGUGCGACCAAACCGGCUCGCAAACGGCAACAGCAGCGAUCCGAGCAGAAACCGGCAGAGAUGCAAAGCGGAGAUUUUUUUUUCCCGGCCGUUUGCUCCCCGGCCCAACUUUUGGGCAACUUUUCUCCGCUUCUGCUAAAAACUGUGCCGAUAUUCGGCACGCAGAGCCCCAGCCGAAAGGGACCCGACGGCCACCGCCACCGCGCACACUCGACCGCAGAGUUUGCGAUUUUGACCGUUUUCACCGAGUGGGAAAACUCGUAUUUUUAAAGCCUUUUUCUUUUCUUUUUUUUCCCCCUCCACUCCGUAGUUCUCUCGUUUCAGUGGCAAUUUCAGCAAACGCUAGGCAAAAUAUUUCACUACAGGUCUCGCUCAGUCCUGUAGUACUAUUUUUCCUCCAUUAAGCUCCUUUCUAAGAGACACGAGUUUUGAUGCCCCGUCUCGUAGUGGGGUAAAAUAACCUCGUAUUAGGACUUAAUGCACUUGCAACUAAACUGGGGAUUUUCGUUUGCUGCAAUCGCUUAUACUACGGUUUGGAAUAUGCCACGGAAAAAACUUCUUAGCAGAAAUACUCAUUUGUACUUUUACUUUCUUUCUCAGAGAAAGGGAAUAACAUCUCCCCUUCUCCCCCCCCCC